rnacentral:rRNA from 1 species
UGUAAUGGCAGGUCAGCAUACUGCCGUGAAUACGUUCCCGGGCCUUGUACACACCGCCCGUCACACCAUGAGAGUUAGGAAUACCCGAAGCCUGUGAGCUAACUUUAAUAGAGGCAGCAGUCGAAGGUAGAACUAAUGAUUGGGGUGAAGUCGUAACAAGGUACC